rfam:Myotis davidii contig63248, whole genome shotgun sequence.
GUGCUCACUUCAGCAGCACAUAUACUAAAAUUGGAACGCUACAAAGAAGAUUAGCAUGGCCUCUGUGCAA